UGUGUGCGCGCGCGCGCGCACGGGGUCCCUCGACUGCUUAGUAUCCGCCUCCUCCCCCUCCCCCAUCCCGCCCGCCAUCCGUCCUGGCCGCUGAUGGGAGAGGGGCUGUGAGGAUGCAGGCUGGGAGGGGAGAGGCGAUCUAAGGCCAGACCACCCGGAGGUCCUACCCACCGCCCAAGUUCUUUCUUAGUUCACGGGGCCAUGGCGGGGAGAGAAGUGGGAGGGGGCUGCUGUGGAGGCCUCACCGCUGCCCCUCUUCUAAAGGCACACCUAGAUCUCUAACCCUAGGGAAGAAUCCACUGCUCUGCACCCAGAUUCAUUCUUUCUGCCACACUGCUUUUUUUCCUCACUCGAAAUGGUAACGUCUGUUGUCAUUUUGUGGUCCCCACAGUUGUCCAAGAAAGAGGGCCUGGCCCUGUCAGGACCCGCACCGGGUCACACGAUGGUCUCUGUCUGGUCCCACGGCCAAGUGUCAGGCGUCAGUUAGGGUCGGUCCUGGUUCCUCUUCCUCUGCUCCGUCAAGUCUUCUGCGGUCACUUCCAAGCUCUCAUGAGGUUUGGCAGUGUGGCAAUGGGGCAGGGAUAAGAACCAGCCUGGGUCUCAGCCCCUUGCCAUACAUACCUGUCCAGUUUAUCUAUCAGCGCUGUUAACAUAUUAAUCACACAUAUUUUAAAUUCCCUGAUAAUGGCCAAAUCUGCAUUACAUCUGCAUCUGGUUCUGAUGUUUGCUUUGUAUUCUCAAACUGCUUUUUCUUGUCUUUUAGCAUGCCUUAUACUUUUUUGUUGAAAGCUGGACAUAUGUUGGGUAAUGCGAACGGAGGUAAAUAGACCCUUAGCGAGAGGUUUUCUGUCGUGUGUAAUGUUUACUGUAGGUGUAGGUGCCAGAGUCUUCAAGUUCUAGUGUCCUUAUUUUUGUCUCCCCUCUUACCUUGGGGCUUCCCUAAUUACUCUUUGCAGAGAGAGUCCGCAUGUUGCAACUCUUUGAGCUGUACUCCACUCCUGUUCUACUGCAGGCUUGUGACAAGGUGAAAAACGUGUGGAGACGUGUUCUGUAUUCUUCCAAUUAAAUUCCAGGGUUCUGUGGGCCCGUGUUCCUAGGCUGUGACCUUCACGAGUGUUUUGUAGCUUCUCUCUCCCCCUUAUGUAUAAAUGGAAGACUAGAGUGGGCUGGGAUAAGGCUCUGGGAAAAAGUUUUUUCCACUGUAGAGUAGGCCUUUCUCAUGGAGAAGGCUCUGGGUGUAUUUCACAAGAGCACAAUUCCCCUCCCACUGCCAGAGCCAUGAGGGGAUCUUUCUGGGAUCUUCACUGUGAGAACCUGCUGGAGUUCCUGGAUCUAAAGCCCACUAAACCUCUUAAGACUGCACGUGGGGUUUCCCGCUCUCAUACUAUUCCACAGUCUCCAGUAAUUUGUCAAAACUACCGUUUAAGUCUUCUCACCUCUUUAUGUCUCUAGCCUUUUCUGCUCUAUGUACGGAGACAGAGGCUGUGACUCGCCGGAUUUGUCUUUUCUCUAGAAUAAGUGGUGGUCAUUUGCCCUGUGACCUCAGGUCUCUGAAGGGUCUGAGGCAUAGAAAAUUUACGUGGCUCCCUGAACUUGGCAUCUCAGCCUCCAAAUAUUUAACUUGGAGUGCAGAUUAGAAUUCAGACUUCCUGAAUCAACAUUCCUUGUGAGGUUUGAGCAACUGCGACUUAACCCAAGAAGAAGGAAGACAUCUCUGUCACCACCACCACCAUCAAGAGGCCGUCCACUAUACUACUAGGUGCUUGCUUAGACUAGAGUAACUAGUUUCUGAGCCCCGGAAGCGCGUUCUAGAAGGUACAGUUGGGACUUUCUCCUCUGGGCUCUAUUCCGGGACUUGGCCGGACUUCAGAGCCAGGCAGUCCAGGCUGAGUAGAGACUUUGCCACUAUUUGUGUCACUUCGGAAAAGGUACUUCAUGUUUUUGUAACUCAGUUACUUCAUCCCUCAAAGGGAGCUGGUCAUAAUGACCUCACAGGAUUCUUGUGCACACUAAAUGAGAAACUAUCUGAUAUACUGAAAUGCCUGCAUGUAUCAGGUCUUUCUAGUUCCUUUUAAAACUGUGAGCUUGUUAUACUAUGGGUUAGGCUGGGGUAAGUAGGAAAGAGUAGAUGAGAGCUCCAUGGUGGCUUUCAGAGGUCAUAACUGCUAAGACAUUGCCACCGUGCUCCUCAGUGCUUUGUAUACUGUCUUUUGCUUGCCAUAACCAACACUUACUGAAGAAAUUUCAUUUUUGCAUGAGCGUGUCUCCCUCCUCCUCGUGGUCCUGUACCACAGGGAGGAUGAUCCCAGUUCCAGGGGUCAUCUUCCUGGUCUAUGGGUAAUCCAUCCCCUUGGUACUCUCUGGUUCAGGAAGGGGAGGUGAUCUAACUCUGCUCAAUGAGACCUUAGAAGAAGACCGCAGAAGGACUUCUGAAGGAAGUGCCUUCACUCAUAAGAAAAGGCCAUCGAGAAAGAUGAUCUCCUUUUCUUCCUCAGGAAUUUGCUUAACUCCUAGAAUUGUUGCAGCCAUCAAGCUUCCAGCCUUAGGAUGGAAGCUGAUACUGUGAGUGGCAGAAGAAGGAGAUGGAAAAAAGCUGAGUCCUUAGCUGAAUCAAACAACCAUCAAGGCCUCAGUACUUCAAUCAGUGGAUAAUAAAUUUCCUUGUUAAGUUAGUUUUAGCUAAGUUCCUUGUUAUAUGAAAAUGGAGCAAUCGUAAAUGAUGUGUGUGUUCAGGCACAGAACAACUCUUCGAUGAAUAAAUGUUCCUGACUUUUGUCUGUCAGUAA